UUUGGAAACGAAGAAUAAUACCCUAUAAAACCAUAAAAGCACAUGCUAGAAUGGUCAAAGUGAUAGCGGUGUAAGAUGGACUUGCGUCUGAUUAGCUAGUUGGUGAGAUAAAAGCUCACCAAGGCAACGAUCAGUAGCCGGCUUGAGAGAGUGUACGGCCACAUUGGGACUGAGACACGGCCCAG
rnacentral:rRNA from 1 species